AGUCCGGAAAUCACAAGCAGCAGUUUAACAGCAAGUAGGACUGAAGCCACCAAAGUUUUUGUUUUUUAUCGUGCCCAGCUAUGUUGUUUCGAUACUUCGAAAAAACACGGAUAUUUCUGAUGGAAAAACGUGAACUUGUUUCUAUGCCGGGUGAAGAGUAAUGUUUUAAUUCUAACGAAUAGAAUCUAGAGUUCACUCAGUUUUCUUGAAGAGGUCGCUUCUACUUCUAUUGCAUUGCAGCCAAGGGUUGGAAACCAUCAGUGAUGGGCGCCUAAAUUUGAAAUUAAUACUUAAACAGAUAGAACAGCUCACUUUUCAGAUUGAAAAUGCUCCCAGGAGGCGAAAACAACAUAACAUUCUAUGUGACGCGACCUUUUCUUGACGCCAAUCGAUACAUCUCAACAUGCUAAGUAGAAAUGCAAUACAGGUCUCUCUAUUCGAAAUGGGUAGUGGUUCGGCGCGAAAAUGGUGAAAAACCCGAGUUUGUUUCGCCCAGGUGGCAAUGAAAUAAAAGUGUUUCAAGACACUUUUGAGUACUUUUGUCACCGAAUUUCUGAUAAUUGUCAAUGAGAAGGUUGUAGCGUCUAAUUUCUCAGUUAGAAGAUGUCGUUUAAAAGGUGGAACCUAUGCCAGUGGCAUUGUCUGUCAUGCUAGUCGACG